rnacentral:rRNA from 1 species
CGCAAUGGGCGAAAGCCUGACGGAGCAACGCCGCGUGCAGGAGGAAGGCCUUCGGGUUGUAAACUGCUUUUAUCUGUGACGAUUAUGACGGUAGCAGAAGAAUAAGGAUCGGCUAAUUCCGUGCCAGCAGCCGCGGUCAUACGGAAGAUCCGAGCGUUAUCCGGAAUUACUGGGCGUAAAGAGUUGCGUAGGUGGCAUAGUAAGCGAGCAGUGAAAGACUCCGGCUCAACCGGAGGUACAUUGUUCGAACUACUAAGCUUGAGCAUGAGAGAGGUAGAUGGAAUUUCUAGUGUAGGAGUGAAAUCCGUAGAUAUUAGAAGGAACACCGAUGGCGUAGGCAGUCUACUGGCUCAUUGCUGACACUAAGGCACGAAAGCGU